AGCAGUGGGGAAUAUUGCGCAAUGGGCGAAAGCCUGACGCAGCAACGCCGCGUGAGGGAUGACGGCUUUCGGGUUGUAAACCUCUUUCAGUGAUGACGAAAAUGACGGUAGUCACAGAAGAAGCUCCGGCCAACUACGUGCCAGCAGCCGCGGUAACACGUAGGGAGCGAGCGUUGUCCGGAUUUAUUGGGCGUAAAGAGCUCGUAGGCGGUUUCGUAAGUCGGAUGUGAAAACUCAGGGCUCAACCCUGAGACGCCAUCUGAUACUGCGAUGACUAGAGUCCGGUAGAGGAGCAUGGAAUUCCUGGUGUAGCGGUGGAAUGCGCAGAUAUCAGGAGGAACACCAACGGCGAAGGCAGUGCUCUGGGCCGGUACUGACGCUGAGGAGCGAAAGCAUGGGGAGCAAACAGGAUUAGAUACCCUGGUAGUCCAUGCCGUAAACGUUGGGCACUAGGUGUGGGGUCUUCUAACGGAUUCCGUGCCGUAGCUAACGCAUUAAGUGCCCCGCCUGGGGAGUACGGCCGCAAG
rnacentral:rRNA from 1 species